AAAUAUUACAUGAAAUAGGACACGUGUGAAAAGUAACAUACCAUAACUUUACUCAUGUAUGAGAAUCAAGUUUUGAUGUUUGAACAUCCAAAACCACAAGUAUGACAAUUACAACAGACAUAAGUAUUAGAACAUUACAAUAACCUUAAACCUUCCUAACUCCCAUAACCUAUGAAGCACUAACUCUCACCAUUAUUCUCAUCAUAAUUCAACCAUUAUUUUCACCAUAACUCCCAACAUAAUUCUAAAUUAAUGUUAUCUCCAACAUCCUCCCUUAAUUUAGAAUUACUCUAACUUCAAGUUCUUCAUCAUGAUUCUUGCUCCAUUGCCUCUUCUUCUUUAACUUGCUUAUUUUCCUCUUUGAUAUCGCCUCACUAUGGUCUCUCAGUCCAUUGCCCAUCUGCUUCUUCAUUCAAUGCAAGCACCUUAAUUCCCUUGGCGGAAUUUUUCAAUGACACUUCUUUAGUUACUUUGGGUCUUGAGAGCUUUUCCUCCCUCAUUACUUAGAGAACUUUCUUUUCUCCUUUCCGUGUGAGUUCAUUUCAUUCCUCACCAAUACUUUAAGGCCUUCAUGCCUCUUGAAGCUUACAUGAACUCUGACUUGUCUUCGUCUUCAUUGACUUUGGCCACCAGCUGGGAGUACUUUUCUUUAGGACUUUCACCCAAUCUUCAUUGCACCAUUGUGCAUUUAGGGAGUCUUGUCAACUUCUUUGCACAAUUGUGCCACUAUGCCUUUAGGAAGCCUUUUCAACUUGACACCAUUGUGCCAUCUUCACCUGGAGAAAAGAUAUACCAUUUUGUUGAAAGACUUUUGUCUUUCAAUUAGAAAUCAGAGGAAUAAGCUAAUUGCCAAAGUUCCAAUGACGAAGAAUAGAAUGUUCUUGCUGAAGCUGCAAACUGAAUUGGCAAAGCGUCUAAAGGGUUCCGCCAAAGAAUCUUCUUGGAUUUGGCACUAGAGAUUUGGGCACGUGAAUUUUGAAGAUUUGUCUAUGUUGCGGAAGAAAAAAAUGGUGAAAGGCUUGCCAACAAUUCAUUCUCCAAAUCACUUAUGUGAAGGGUGUCUUCUUGGAAAGCAUUCAAGAAAAAAUUUUCCUAAGGAGGCAACUACAAGAGCAAAAGAGCCACUGGAGCUUGUUCAUGCUGAUGUCUGCGGCCCAAUCAAACCAAGUUCUUUUGGUAAGAAUAAUUAUUUUCUGCUAUUUAUUGAUGAUUUUAGCAGAAAAACUUAGGUGUAUUUUUUAAAGGAGAAAUCAGAGGUGUUUGGUGCAUUCAAAAAAUUCAAGGCUGUUGUUGAAAAUAUGAGUGGCUGCAAGAUUAAGGUGUUGAGAUCUGAUCGAGGAGGGGAAUUCACUUCAAAUGAAUUCUAAAAAUUUUGUGAUGACAAUGGAAUUCGCAGCUUCCUAACGGUGCCAUACUCUCCUCAACAAAAUGGCGUAGUGGAGAGAAAAAAUAGAACAAUUCUCAAUAUGGCUCGAAGUAUGAUGAGAAGCAAGAGGUGGCAGAGGAGGAAGAAUUGGAAGAGGUGGCUACAAGUCCAGCUAAAAUAAAGGAAGAGAUCAAAAUCCAAACUCUUCAAGAGGAAAUGGAAGAUGGAGCAAUUCACACCAACAAGGAAAUUUCAGGUUUGGUUAUGAAGCUAUAAGUUUGAAUCCCAGUGAUCACUGGCAGAUCCCGGUAGAGGGUGAGGCAGGCUCAAGCCCGUCCGAGAUAUUUGGGCUUAAAAAAAAAUUAGAUGUAUACUUUUUUUUUUGUUAAUUUGGUAUAGUCCAUAUUGAAGCCCAGUAGCCCACCCGAAGUACUCCCGAGUCCCGAGUCCCGAGUCCCGAACUUGACUACGGCCUAUUCUAAUAUGGAGAAUCAUCUCCCUUCCUCCUCCUCUCGCCUUCUGCGGCUCUGCCCUUCUCCACUUCUCUCAGAGAUCAAGUCGUAUCUACUUCUCUUACUCUCCCUCUUCAAUUUGGGGCAAUGAAUUCAAUACUUGUAGUGGAUUGAAGAUUUCGUGGAUUGAAGAAUGAAGGUUCAAAUUCUAUUGAUCUGAUUGCGGUUAAAGGGGGGAUAGUUGCUACUGUGCUAUCCACAACCAUGGUAGCUCUCUCUCUCUCUCUCUCUCUCUCUCUCUCUCUCUCUCUCGACUGAAAGUUCUUCAAGUUUUCACUAAAUCUGUGGCAGUAAAGGGCUAAAGGCUUAAGCUUCUCUUGAGCUAGAGCUAGGAUUUGAUUCAAUUAGUGAAUACAUAGUUCUCUUCAAGAAUUUAGUUCAAAUUGAUUUGGUAAUCUGGAAAAGAAGCGUGUUUCUAAGAAAUGGUGAAACUGAAUACACAAGCUUAGUUGAAGAGAAAGAUUCGUGUUGCAGUUUUUGGUAUCUAUCUAAUGCUGAACUUA